rnacentral:rRNA from 1 species
GACGAACGCUGGCGGCGUGCUUAACACAUGCAAGUCGAACGGAAAGGCCCUGCUUGCAGGGUACUCGAGUGGCGAACGGGUGAGUAACACGUGGGUGAUCUGCCCUGCACUUCGGGAUAAGCCUGGGAAACUGGGUCUAAUACCGGAUAGGUGCCAUUUUUAGUGUGAUGGUUGGAAAGUUUUUUCGGUGUAGGAUGAGCUCGCGGCCUAUCAGCUUGUUGGUGGGGUAAUUGCCUACCAAGGCGGCGACGGGUAGCCGGCCUGAGAGGGUGGACGGCCACAUUGGGACUGAGAUACGGCCCAGACUACUACGGGAGGAAGCAGUGGGGAAUAUUGCACAAUGGGCGCAAGACUGAUGAAGCGACGACGCGUGGGGGAUGACGGACUUUGGGUUGUAAACUACUUUCGCUAGGGACGAAGCUUUUUGUGACGGUACCUAGAUAAGAAGCACCGGCUAACUACGUG